GCCUGACGGGAGCCGCCUUCAGACUCUCCCGAGUGGGGUCUGGGCCCGGAGCCUGACCUGCUCCCCUCCGUGGCUGCGCUACCGACGCGAGUGUGGGCGCCCUCGAGGACGUGGGUGGAAAGUUCCAGAAGAGUCCGGGCCAGGCUGCGCCGGAAAUGAAGGCCCUCCUGGCUUUGUUCCUGGUUGUGGGCCUGCCGCGGGCGGAGACCAAUGUCACUGUGUCUGGGCGACAGAAUGUGGCGAUGAGGUGCUACGUUUGCGAGACAGAGAACAAUUUUCUCUGCACCCAAGAGUCCAACUGCACCCGGGGCAGCCGAUUUUGCACCACUGUGGCCGUGAGAGUGUUUCCGCGGUUCUACCUGGUUUCCAAGCAGUGUGUGGCGGCCUGUGCCUUCGAGGGCGUGCAGCAGCGCGGGGCCAAGUCCUUCCUGCUCAUCAAGCCCACGCCUUUCCUGUACGUGGUGUGCUGCCAGGAGCGGCUGUGCAACACCCACAACCCGGUCAUCGAAGAAAACUCGGAGGAUAAGUACAAGGAGGUGGCAGGGGCCUGCGACGGGCUGGGCGGCCGCGUGGGGCUGGCGGCUCUCCUGACCCUGGCCUCCGUGCUCCUGGACCUCUGGCUGCCGUGAAGAAGUGGGCUCACCCCCGGCGCUGGGAACCUGUGCUAUUAAACGGGCUUUGCACAGCAAGCUCACGGGCAGUCUGGCCUCCGGGGACCUUGGGUGGGGGCGGCGGGGGGAGGGCCCGGCCCCGCUGGCUCCAGCAGGCGGUUGGAAGGAGGGCAAGGCCAAGCCCUGCCCAGAGGGGUUUUGUUUACACGCUGUUUCUCUCUGCAGUCAAGCCUUGUGACUCUGUUUAUUGCUGGCGGUCACUCUUGCCGCGUCCCCUCGGAGGGCCUGGGAAGUGAUGGGAGGGAGGGAGGGAGGGGCUGAGGCCCGGCCGCCUGUGGGGCGUGAGCAGGGGUGCCCGGAGCUCGGUGCUAUGGGCCUGGCGGGGGGCGGGGGGCGUCCAGGGGCAGACAGAGUGCCUUGGGUGUAAGACACUCAGAGCGAAAGACGCCUCAGCGAGGGGCAGCGGGUGUCAUCCUGGGCCCCGUGCUGUCCUCAGCUCCUGCCACCAGAUCCCAGCAAGCAGAAGGUCCGCAGGGCGGAGAACCAGCCCUAUAAAGACACCUGCCGCUGGCCGCUCCCCAGGCCCAGCUGAUGGAUGCCCCACGAUGAAGCCACUCCUGGUGUUUCUGCUUCUGGCUGCUCUGUGCACUGACCUGGCCUGUCCCAGCGGCAUCCUGGUCAUGAAGUCCUGCGCCCCGACGUGCCCCAACAGCACCGUGUCCUCCGACGGCCACACCCUCUCCGUCUCCUGCUGUCAGGGCAGCCAGUGUAACAGCAGCGCCGCUGCAGGCCUGCCGGGCAACCUCGGGGCCCUGUGGGCCAGCACCUCGGCCAGCCUGCUGUGGGCGCUGCUCCGGGCGGCCUGGUGAGCCCACCCGCCACAGGCUGGCCCUGGGUCUUGCCUGUUCCUUCUCAGCCUGGACCUGGGCUGCACGGGAGCCAUCUCCAGCUGGUGUGUCCCCACCCCCCCGCACACCUUCACCCUGGCGGGAGGAGCGCCGUCCCCCUGUCACUCCGCCCUGCCUCCCCCCGGGCCACCCCAGCAAUCCCCACCUCUGGGACCCCCUGAUACAGGAAGACCUGUUACCCUCUCCUGGGCUCUCAGGGUCCUCUGAUCACCCGUGAUGGGAAGGGGGCCUCAGUCACCCCAGGACCCUCCAACCCACUCAAGGGCCUUGCUCUGGGGGCCCCUCUCCCUCAGGACCCCCCUUCCAUGCUCCACGGCCCUUGGGCCCCUCCAGCUGCCUUCUGUGCCAGGGGCCGAGGGCUGGGCUUCCCUCCGGCCCACCAGCCACCCCUUCACCCACUGUCCGUGGGUCAGCUAGGGCGCUCAUUCAUCACAGACCCACGGGGCUUCCCUGGGGCUGACGGGGCCCGCCUCACAGGGCCGUCACUCUGGGGCUUGGUGUGCUGAAGUCUGGGGACCACCAGCCCCCCCACCAACCCCCGCGUGCCCACCGUGGGGGAGAGCCGUGCGGACUGGGGGCUGGCCUACCUCCCACCCCCAGGAUAUAGAGGCAGAGGGAAUAAAGCCAGAGCUGCUCUGAGCACGUUCUCUUGCGACGUCGAGGCUGGGCAGGAAGGUUCUCGUCCCGGGAGGCGGGUGCAGGGCACCGUACGAGCUGAGGCGGAUCCUUGAGCACAUGCUCGGGCGACGCAGAAGCACUUUUUCCUAAGAAGCCAGCUCUGCCCCAAACCCCCUUGGCCAGGAGGACGGAGACGCUCUUCCAACGAAUCCCAAGUAGGGGGUGGACAUGGCCCCUACGAAGGACAGCUUCUGGGCCUGUGUCCCCCACAUAGGGGGUCAGUUCCACAGGCCCCUCCUGUCCCAUACCUCCAGUCGGGGCACACCUGCCCCAGGGCUCUGAGUCUCCUCCCAGGGCCCAAGACCCCCCCUCUCCAGAAGUUUGAGACCCCAAACCUCUGUCCAGGGCCUUGCCUCAGGAACCCCUACCCGGCCUGAAGGGAGGAAGGCCUUCCUGUCCCCAGCAGCCACUUCUGAGGUCCCCUGUGCCUGUGAUGGAGCUGAGGCGGCCACUCAGUUGGGGACCACGAUGCCCCCAGGAAGUGCGGGG